AAUCCAUGGUGUGGGCACUGAGCUUGGUAACCAUUGAAUCUCUCCCAAGCUUCACUGAAUCCUUCCAAGUUCUUCUGUUGGAAGCUGGAGAUCUCAUUCCUCAACUU